UACGGAGGGUGCAAGCGUUAUCCGGAUUCACUGGGUUUAAAGGGUGCGUAGGUGGACAGGUAAGUCAGUGGUGAAAUCUCCAAGCUUAACUUGGAAACUGCCGUUGAUACUAUCUGUCUUGAAUAUCGUGGAGGUAAGCGGAAUAUGUCAUGUAGCGGUGAAAUGCUUAGAUAUGACAUAGAACACCGAUUGCGAAGGCAGCUUACUACACGAUCAUUGACACUGAGGCACGAAAGCGUGGGGAGCAAAC
rnacentral:rRNA from 1 species